rnacentral:snRNA from 1 species
GCUCGCUUCGGCACGCAACAUAUACUAAAUUGGAAUCGAUACAGAGAAGCUUCGCCUGGCACCCCCAUGCGCAAGGAUGACACGCAAUCGUUGAAGAGCCCAUAUUUUU